UGGAUCCAGACCUUUAUUAUGGCUCAGGAUGAACGCUAGCUACAGGCUUAACACAUGCAAGUCGAGGGGCAGCGGGAUUGAAGCUUGCUUCAAUUGCCGGCGACCGGCGCACGGGUGAGUAACGCGUAUCCAACCUUCCGUACACUCAGGGAUAGCCUUUCGAAAGAAAGAUUAAUACCUGAUGGUAUGAUGAGAUUGCAUGAUAGCAUCAUUAAAGAUUUAUCGGUGUACGAUGGGGAUGCGUUCCAUUAGGUAGUAGGCGGGGUAACGGCCCACCUAGCCAACGAUGGAUAGGGGUUCUGAGAGGAAGGUCCCCCACAUUGGAACUGAGACACGGUCCAAACUCCUACGGGAGGCAGCAGUGAGGAAUAUUGGUCAAUGGACGAGAGUCUGAACCAGCCAAGUAGCGUGAAGGAUGAAGGUCCUACGGAUUGUAAACUUCUUUUAUAAGGGAAUAAACCCUCCCACGUGUGGGAGCUUGUAUGUACCUUAUGAAUAAGCAUCGGCUAACUCCGUGCCAGCAGCCGCGGUAAUACGGAGGAUGCGAGCGUUAUCCGGAUUUAUUGGGUUUAAAGGGAGCGCAGACGGGUCGCUAAGUCAGCUGUGAAAGUUUGGGGCUCAACCUUAAAAUUGCAGUUGAUACUGGCGUCCUUGAGUGCGGUUGAGGUGUGCGGAAUUCGUGGUGUAGCGGUGAAGUGCUUAGAUAUCACGAAGAACUCCGAUUGCGAAGGCAGCACACUAAUCCGUAACUGACGUUCAUGCUCGAAAGUGUGGGUAUCAAACAGGAUUAGAUACCCUGGUAGUCCACACGGUAAACGAUGGAUACUCGCUGUUGGCGAUAUACUGUCAGCGGCUUAGCGAAAGCGUUAAGUAUCCCACCUGGGGAGUACGCCGGCAACGGUGCAACUCAAAUGAAUUGACGGA
rnacentral:rRNA from 2 species